UUCACACCAACCCCCUGUAUGUACCAACAAUAAACUACCAUAUAGUUCCUACUUUCUCUAAAAACUUGGUGAAAGAUCAUAUCACCAUGAUCACUAUCCCCAUUCCUCCUUAUGUGAUGGCAUACAUGAUUACAUGUACUGCAAAAUUUUUUUAUACAUGUUCAAUGAGUUGGACUAGAUCUUGCCCAACAAAUCUUUUCCCAUCCUUUAUCAUUUCAGAAACCUAAUAUCUCUACAUAUCUUUCUCUGUCUCUUCACGGCUUCACAAGGUAAACUCCAACACGGCAACACACACACGCGCACCCACGCCUCUCCCUUUUCCACGAAGUCCGGCAGCGGACUUGACCGAUGGAGCAGGUGACGAACCGGCGAAGCUUCCGGCGACGGUGGUGAGAUUUUCGCGGCGGACCCGGGGUGUACCCCCCUAAAUCAAACCUCCUGAUCAUAUAUUCGGCACCAGAUUUCCAAUCGGAGCAGUGUAGGUGGCAGAUUUGAUCACCGGCAGCCGCGGUUUGGGACUUUACACUCCGUUGUUGUUACAGGUAACAGUGGUGGUUCCGGUGAUGAUGAUGAUUACGAAGACAACGAGAUGAUGAUGACGAAGAUGUGAUGGUGGUUUUCCGACGAUUCGACGGCGACGACGGUGGUUACUAUGGUUCAGUUUCAGGUCACGGCUCGGUUCAAGUUCAGUUUCGGGGGAACACAAGUUAACAAUUUCAGUUACAGUUCGGUUCGGGGCAACUCACGACAAAACGGGUUCGGGUCAACCCGGUCAAGUCAGUCAACACGGGCCCGGAACUUUCUCUUGAUGCCAAAAAUUCUAAAGAUACAAAUGCUGCUAUGCUUCGAUGGUGGCCAUUACUUGAAAAACAUAGUUGUAAGGCCACGAAACUUCACUCGAAGCCUUGCAGAUUCAAGAUUUUCUUGGAGACUUUGGAGCACCAACUACUGAAAGACCAAAAGAAGAAUAUAAGAAAACGACCCAAUCAAGGAGGAAACUGUUUUACCACACCAACUAAUAAACCAGCAAGACAGCGCCGUAGACAAGGUUUGUGUUCUAUGUUGGAAGAGCUUCGCAACGAACUAAACCACAUCCAAAACGGAGCGAAGAUGAAUGGGAUAUCAAUGCUUAAAGUUUGGUGUUUGAAACUUUGAAUGCUGAAAAAUUGGGAAAGUGGCAACUUGUCCCAUAUAGGAGGAGAUAUGAAACUUAAAGGGGUAUUUAAGUGGGAACACUCCAUCCUUAUUGUUUCAUGGAAGCAUACACUAGUGUACUCGCGAAGGGUGCGGAACACCCUAACCCACACUCGCCAGCUUGCGCGCUCGUGGCGUGGGCGCAAUGUGGUGCUUUGAUGGCGCACUUUUCACUUCGCACGCUCGCACCGCUUAACCGCGCAUGCGUGGUGAAACACGUGGGCUACAAGGACCAGGGGGCAGGUAAACCAUGGAGGGUGACGUGGCAGGCACAUGCGCGGGUACACGACGCAUGACCAGGUUGGUCUGCGCAUAUCGGCGCAUGGACACUGAUGUGACGCGCGGAUGGUGCACCAAAUUGAGACAAUACGGCACGACUGUAUGGCUUGCUCAUAUAGGUUCAUUGGUGACUUGGCGCACACGCGCAUGGAACUGAGCCAAACUGGCGCGCGCAUUCAGGGCACAUGAAAUUGAGCCAAAUUGGCGCACGUGCGCGUGAGCGUGUAGACCAGCGUGCGCACCAGCAUGUCUUGCGCGCGUGCGCGUAGAAGCUUUCAGACAUUAAUGAUAGAGCAGUUUCAUUUCAGCAUUUGAAACAGACGAGUCAACGGUUUUGACUGAGAAUUAAAUGACGAAUUAAAGUGCAUUGAAGACGUUUAAUGCAAUUUAAUUCACCCAUUUAAUUUGUUUUUCUGUUUCAUCCCGAGACCUGCAGUAUAAAUAGGAGGCCACCCCUGCUGCAGAAGAUACACCGAACAACACACCAUCUUAUGCAACUUCUCCUCUACAAAAUUUUCUUCUUUUUCUUUCUUGUGUUAAGGUACACCUUCAGGUUUUCGUCAAGUCCGGCAGUGCAACUACUUAGGCUGUUGUAUCUUGCAAACAAACGAGUUCUCCUGGGACACUCGAAAUUUGUUUUAAGGGACUCGUGUCUAACACGAUCCUCAGACAAGAACUUUUUAUUUUCAGUAAUUUGUUUUAAGGGACUCUUGGUCCCAUACCUCGGGAUAAUUCGAGAUAAUCAUCGAAGUAGGAAUAGUGAAAACCUCUGUCAACAAUUGGCCGUUUCUGAAAAAAAAGGAAAUGUUAUUAGGUAAACAUAAAUACCUAAACAUAUAAGAAAAAAGAUGAACACUUUGUGUGAGUAACUUACUCGCUGGUCGUUGUUAAAUUCAAGUUUAUGUUUUUGCUAAUAUGAGCCUUCCGUUUGGCACGUUAGAAGCGGUUCUUGUCGAAGAUGGAAACGUGAUUUAUUGACUAUGUGUUAGAUUACGUGUAGGAUUAUGUGAAUCAAACUAAUUGAAACUGUAAACAUAUCAGGACGUCGUUGACCACUCCUGAUUACCUUUCACACUUAUUUCCGCCGAGCAAACUAAGGUCAUUAGGUACAACUAUUAUGUACACCUGGGAUGAACGGUUGCAAUUGUUGGCAUGGUGUGGUUUGAUAAACUUUAUGUUUUAAAUUACUUAUUAAACUUGUGGUUUUUAAAUAUUUGUUGGGAUUCCGCGGCAACUUAAACUGUGUUUUGACAAUUAAAACUUGAUCGUUAGUCA